GGACAACGUAGGAUGUUUUUGUGCGCUGAUCAACACCUGCCAAUGGGCGAGUAGCGGCCUCUGGCACACCGGCCGGGCAUCGAUUCUUAAGCGACCGGUUCCUCCCCUCGUGGCAGUCUGGGCUCGAUCUCGGCCGAGUUCGGAAUGAAGGCUGCUCACACUGAGAUGUUUCAGAGGCGACAGGGGCGAGGGGCACUUGCCAGUGCCUGCCCCUGGUAAGAAGCUACGGCUCUGUACCAGGGGCAGGUACCCAACCUACCGUCCCCGGACUGACAUAUGGCAAC